AGUGAACGCUGGCGGCAGGCCUAACACAUGCAAGUCGAGCGGCAGCGCGUCCGACCACCCUCGGGUGGUCGGAUGGCGGCGAGCGGCGGACGGGUGAGGAAUGCAUCGGAAUCUGCCUCGUUGUGGGGGAUAACGUAGGGAAACUUACGCUAAUACUGCAUACGACCUACGGGUGAAAGUGGGGGACCUUCGGGCCUCACGCGAUGAGAUGAGCCGAUGCCGGAUUAGCUAGUUGGCGGGGUAAAGGCCCACCAAGGCGACGAUCCGUAGCUGGUCUGAGAGGAUGAUCAGCCACACUGGAACUGAGACACGGUCCAGACUCCUACGGGAGGCAGCAGUGGGGAAUAUUGGACAAUGGGGGCAACCCUGAUCCAGCCAUGCCGCGUGUGUGAAGAAGG
rnacentral:rRNA from 1 species